GCUGUUGAUUAAGUUCUCUUUGCUGUUGAUUUUUCCCUUUCUCCUCUUUCAUAGUAUGUUCAUAGUAGUAAAACUAACUCUUAUAUAUAAGUGUGAUCAAGUAGCAAGUGAAAGCUGGUAGGUGGAGGUUGUCCUACCAGCUUGCCAAGGGUUAGUUUGGUCAUUACCUUUAUAUAAGGUCAAACAGUUCAUUUCGUAUUUGAGUUGGUACAGGUGUAGUCUCAGAGUUAUGGUAAUACAACAGUUGUCCGUUGAGAUUGUACGUGUAACUCCACAAAUUACUCUUACAACAGCUUAAGCUUUGGUUUUGUCUCACUAAAGAACCCAAAAUUCAUUCUCACACCUAUGAUAAUCUUCCGAUUUUCCUCAAAUUUUCAAUCAAAAGAGUGUAAGUUCUCUUUGUUGUUGAUUUUUCCCCUUCUCCUCUUUCAUAGUAUGUUCAUAGUAGUAAAACUAAUAGAAAACUCCAUUGGUGUGCUACUUGGAAUUCUAAUUUUAUCGUCUCUGUGAGUUCGUAGUUGUGUGCUUAAUUACCUGGACUCUAACAACAGUAUACAAGAUCAGUACAGCUUCAGAUCUUGCCUCACUAGCUCAACAUCAGCAUACAAGAUAAAAGAUUUUCAAAAACGAAAAGACCCAGCGAAUACCAUAAUGGAUCAGAGGUUUCUUGUGGACUCCAUCACAAAAGAAACUACAGACUGAACAAGGUUCAGGUAGUUGACAAGUUUCGCCCUUGCAAGAGCAAAGACUCAUCUGUCCAUUCUCACACAAUUCUUGUGCAAGAUAAAAGAGUAAUUUUCUCUUCAUAUCAACUCCCUAAAUACUCAGGUUGAUACUGUAAACGUUAGCUGCAACAAUGUUUUACAACCUGUAAAAUGUCUGCUAUAAAGAAAUGAAUGUGUACCUCACAACAAUGUCUGUUUUUUCUUGUAUACCAAGCUUGGGGAUAAUUUCUAUCAAAUAUUAUAGAAGGAUGUAUAGGUGCA